UUUGUUCUGGUUCCUAAGUCCACAUAACAAAAGGCAAAACAAAUAUGCUAUUGCUUUUAUGUAACUAGUGAUUUAAAGUUAUAAUUACCUAAUAAAAGAGUUUAAAAUCAUUUCUCCCCCAGGUUGCAUUUGUUUAUUCGCUUUAUGUGCUGGAUGUCUUCUCUUUGACCCUCUGAAUCCACCCUCACCCCUCUCCCUCCUCCCUCCUGCCUCAGAAGGUGGAUGUCUAUGGACUCCAUCAAUAGACUCCCCUACCCUUGGCUUCCAGUUGGGUUUAUCCAGGGAAUAGACUUGGCAGCAGAUAAGAGGGAGAGAAGACAGUAUCUUCAGGUUAUUUAUUCUCUUUGGAUCCCUUUCUGAGAGAUUGCCUUGGGCUGUUUGUGCUGCUCAACCAAAUGUCACUGCUCCUCUUCAGAGGGUCCCCUUUCUAUCAAAUCACAUUUUUCCUGAUG
rnacentral:lncRNA from 10 species